UGGCAGGCAAUUAGCAGGAAGGAGCUGACAGAUUAAUUCUCUUUCCCUUUGGGUCAAGCUGGAAAGUAAGGCAACAGCUGUUAUUCUCCCCACCACCCCCUUUCAGGGGGCUAACAAGAAAGAAACAAAUCAAAUUAAGGCUCCCCAUUCAACGGGAGAUGCUGAUUUCUCUUCCCAGCCUUAGCCAUGCUACCCCACUCAGUUACAUGGAGGAGGAAUAUUGCCCAGUGAUUUAGAGUGAAGAGGGAAAGGUACCAUCAUUAUUUCUUCCUUGGAUGAGUCAAACAGAAAAAUGGGGAACUAUGGUUACUGGAAAGUUUGCAUUUGAAGCUGUGGUUUAAAACAUCUCAAUCUAUGCAGGCAUAGAGGAAGUCUUUUAUUCUUUUCAAACGUUUCAGUUACUUAUGAAAGAAAUUGUAUAGUACUUUACUCCUGGCAACAUUCCUGCACUGGAGGCCAACAAUCAAAGGUCACAAAGGAAAACUUUUGGGCAAAGCAUCAGACUGGUGUCAUCAUGAUGAAACAAGAGCGAGAGUUUUCUUUGGACAUAUCACAUAAUCGUUUAGAGGACCUACUUGUACGUCCAACAGUAGCAUCUCUGUAUGUUCAAAGCAUUGCUAAUGUAAUUCAUUUCCUUUUCACAGCGGAUAAAGACAAUUAAAACAUAGUUUGAACUGAGAUACGUUAGUUUUAUCUUGAAUGAUCUGAAAAGAGUUUGUUACAUUGCAUUGAAAAAUAACACCAACUUUACAAAUUUAUUUAUAGCUCUCUAUCUGUAAUUUUUGGUUGGAUUUCAUGUACUGUAGGGAAUAUUUCGUCUAGGAAGCAAACAAACUUCCUGAUCAGUUGAUGGAUUAUUUCUAAAUUGUCUCCGGCCCUGGUGUUACGGUUGCUUGCAAUGAUUUAUAAUGCUUGGCCAUUCUUUUCCCUCCCUUAUGAAUACAUUGUUAAACUAUCCUAUUUGACUCUUCUUUCCUGGUAGCCUUAUUUUUAGGAUUUUGAUUAUCUUGUUUUCAUCUUUUUUAUAUCUAUUGCAAUACUGGAUGCAGGAUAAUCUUGCUUCUCCAAGUGCCAUGGGUGACAGUUAAUACAUUUGUAUAACCCAGGGAAGUUUCAAUGUAAUUAGUAGCUGUCAAGAGACAUCACCCUGAUACUGUUUCAUAAUAAUCGAGUUUCAGUGAGUAAUCUAUUGAUAUAUUUAAUUUUUUCUGCAUUUUGAUUUGCUAACAAUUCCUAAUAAAUAUGUAAAUAUUU